rnacentral:lncRNA from 10 species
ACAGGACACAAUUGGAGAAACUGGUUAUUUUACCAAGGCUUUGACUGGAAUAGUGUACUUUCCUUUAAGGAAUCAACUUGGCUUAUGGAGGAAAUAAAGCCCGUGGCAAAACUGGCCUCAUAUUUUGUGUACGCAGUGCCUGUACAAGGUUUCUGACCUGUGAGGACACUAGACUUCACAAUCUGCUAAAAAUGAGCUUUCAGCACCUGCUCGUCUAGGAAUAAACCAUCCCAGCCAUGAGAGAUCAGAUGAAACCUGAGACCAGAGACUCAUUUUCUUGCAAAAUGCUUUCUCGAAAAGAUUUUAGAAAAGUUGGGAAAUGUGAAAGGAAAGUAUCUUGGGCCCCUUCAAGCUGGGAACCACUCAGGGCAAAUCUGCCUCCCAUUCUCUUCAAAGACAUCCCUCUGCUCACAGAGAUAGAUGCAUAUUCUGAUUACCUGCUUUGGAAAGACUUAUCAAAAACUCAAAAGAAUGCAACUGCUUAUGUUUCACCCUAUGUGUGACCUGGAAGCUCCUUCCCCACUUUGAGUCUUCCUGCCUUUGCUUCAAGUUGUGCUGCCUUUCCAGACCAACCAAUGUACUUCUUACAUAUAUUGAUUGAUGUUUCAUGUCUCCCUAAAAUAUAUAAAUACUGGAACAAUCUCUGCUUUGUGUAAAUCUGGUUUAAUUUGAUUCUUUGUGUUAGCUCAGAAAAUAUUUAUAGUAAAUACCGAAAUGGGGCGAACAUCUUUAUCAUAAAAAGUUAACAUAAAUUACUAAGAAAAGCAUCAAGAAACCAAAAUAUACACAGGUGAGGGCCAUGAUGGGUCUUUCACAAAGGAGAACAUGAAACUGGUAAGCAAACAUAGGAAAAAUUCAUACUUCCUAGUAUUCAAUGGAAAUUAAAACACUGAGGUUUUUAUGAAUCUUUCAAAUGAGCAGUUUUAUAAAAAACUGAAACAUUUAAUAAUGGCCGGGAUAGAGACACUCUCAUAUCCUCCUGCAGGGGAGUAAACCUUAAUUCAAGUCUUUUGAAAAGCAGUUUGAGAAUAUACUUCAAAAGCCCCAUGCGACAUAAGAAAAAAUAUAUUGAUCUCUGCCCCCAAUUCCUGAUACAUAUCUAAAACCCCUAGAAUUUCCUGGGUGAUAGAAGGAUCUUUUGUUCUAAUGAGGUGACUCUUGGUGGGCUCCUGGGUGGGCACCUGGCACCAGAAAGACCAAGACAUGGUUAGGAGCUUGGAAC